AAUGCCUGGGAAUAUGCCCAGGAUGAGAGGGAUAACCAUUGGAAACGAUGGCUAAUACCGCAUAAUCUCUUCGGAGCAAAGAGGGGGACCUUCGGGCCUCUCGCGUCAGGAUUAGCCCAGGUGAGAUUAGCUUGUUGGUGAGGUAAGAGCUCACCAAGGCAACGAUCUCUAGCUGGUCUGAGAGGAUGAUCAGCCACACUGGAACUGAGACACGGUCCAGACUCCUACGGGAGGCAGCAGUGGGGAAUAUUGCACAAUGGGGGAAACCCUGAUGCAGCCAUGCCGCGUGUAUGAAGAAGGCCUUCGGGUUGUAAAGUACUUUCAGUUGUGAGGAAGGCGUUGUCGUUAAUAGCGGCAAUGUUUGACGUUAGCAACAGAAGAAGCACCGGCUAACUCCGUGCCAGCAGCCGCGGUAAUACGGAGGGUGCGAGCGUUAAUCGGAAUUACUG
rnacentral:rRNA from 1 species